AACCUAGCACACCUGCGGUGUGUACCUGCGGAGGGAUCAUUACCGAGUGUGGUCCCAUAUAAGGGGCGCCUCCCGUCCUUUGCAGGGCCUUUAGGGGCUUUUUGACUUUGCUUCGGCGGGCUUGCCCCGCCGGAACACCCUUAAGAAAAUCUUUAUGAACCGUUUGUCUGAGUUGCUUGCGAAUAAAACAAAACUUUCAACAACGGAUCU
rnacentral:misc_RNA from 1 species